GACGAACGCUGGCGGCGUGCUUAACACAUGCAAGUCGAACGGAAAGGCCCUGCUUUUGUUGCGUGCUCGAGUGGCGAACGGGGGAGUAACACGUGAGUAACCUGCCCUUGACAGUGGGAUAACUUCAGGAAACUGGGGCUAAUACCGGGUAGGAUCUCCUGCUGCAUGUGGUUGGUAGGAAAGUUUCGGCGGUGGUGGCUGGUAUCGAGGCUUAUGCGCUGGUUGGUGUGGUAGUGGCUGACAAAGGCUUUGAAGGCUAGGCGGCCUGGGAGGGUGACCGGCGACAUGGGGACUGAGAUACGGCCCAGACUGCUACGGGAGGCAGCAGUGGAGAAUAUUGCAGAAUGGGCGGACGCCUGAUGUAGCAGCGCCGCGUGCGGGAUAACGGCCUUUGGGGUGUGAACCGCUUUGGACUGUGCUGAGGCGAGAGUGACGGUAAUGGGUAAAGAAGCCCCGGCUAACUACGUG
rnacentral:rRNA from 1 species